UAUUAAUAUAUAUAUAUUAAGAUUGUGAAAAAAAAGAACAGUAAACUGCAGGAGAUUUGGCAACAAUGGUCCCUGUAUUAUUGUAUAAAUGUUAAAAAGUUUGGUCCCUCUAUUGUUGUUACGUAUUAUGUCGCUGGUCUAUUUGAUUUGCAAGGGGUUUUUUGUAAAUUUUUUCCACCGCACCAAACCUUUUAACUUUUUUUUUUCUGAUUAAUUUCCUUUUAUUUUUAUAGAUCGGUCCCUGCUACGUGUCACCCUUCCCCAACAGAUGAAAUCUUCCGCCGCUUCACAUCUGCUUGCCACGAAUCUCUUUCCACCGUCUGUGCAAUUUAGUUGGCCCCUUUUCUACUUCUAUUUUGUUCUGGAUCCCUUCACCGCCAUUCUUCCGAUCUAACCCAUCUCGCUGCUCACUCUAUACACUGCACCUUCUCUCCACCGUUUCUCGACCUUGCUGUUCCGGUGAAGCAACUACUGAUGACGAUCGAUUCACUGUCUUCACAAAAUCGACUAGAAAAUCGAUCCCAAAGUUCCUCUUCACAAAACCGACCAGAAAAUCGAUCCCAAAGUUCCUCAAUCAAGCGAGCGUCGGAAGAAGACCGACUCAAAGAUUUCCCUCACUGACCCCUUUGCUUCAAUCACCGAAUUCCAGGUUCCAAAGAUUUUGUAGGGGCUUGAAUGCCGGCUUCCAUCGGUAAGUGCUUCUUCCCUAUCUUCUAUUCCAUACUUCUCUAUCCAUUUACCAAAGGUCGAUCAUCAAUUUGGACUUUCAUUAUCUGCGCUGUAAUUUGUUUUUUGUUUUUUAAUGAUUUAGUUUCGGAAGGAGCCUUUUUUUUUGGAAUUCUGACUUAUUGAGUUAUGGCUAGGUUUACUGGGUGGGUUUCAUUUGUUGUUAUUUAGGUGACGAUUUCUAUAAAAGUUUGUUAUGGAGGUUUACAUAUUGUUAUAAUUAUCAAUUUUUGGUUGUACAUUUUGAAACUUAAAUUCCAGGACUUAUGCAGAGGGCAUAAGGUAUGUAGUGAAAAUGUUAUAUAUUUGCAUUUUUGCUUGAAUUUUUGUUGUCGGGUACAGAAUUGUUUAGAGAUUUUUUAUCCAGGAAUGAAGACCUUCCUGGAGAUUUAAACUCUGUAUGAAGGUUUUAUGAAUACUUAUUUUUGUACUUUUUUCAGGGUUAGAGGACAUUUUAAGGUGUAUAGGUGGACUGGUCGUUGAUGAGGAGUGACAGGGUGACCCUAUCAAUCCUUUCUUUGAGUUCCUUCUACCCCUCCAUACGCUCCUCCCAACUGGUUUUCUCCGACGUUUCCCCACCUGCCAGGUUUUAUUCUUAAAAUGUUUCAUGUUUGAUUUUGCUUCUUCUUUGCACAACCAACUUCAAGAUUACAGAAGGUUUAUAUAAUACGCUACAAAUGUUUUUUUAGGUAAUUUUUAAUCUUCUGUUUUUAAUUUAACCUAAUUACAAGAUGUGUGGAAUUCUAAUAUACUGCCUCUAUUUGAACUUUGAAAUCAACAAAAGGUGUUAUUUUUUUGUGUAGAACUUUCAUGUACAUGUCUUCGUUAUGAAGUAAUUGGGGUGUGUCGACAUCAAUUACAGGUAUCAUUCUUUUGUAUGUUUUUAUUUUCACAUAAUCUUCAUCUCAAUUGCACACCAAACAAGGUUUACGAAGAAACAUGGCCCUAAAACCUUAUAUUUCUCAAUCCAAUUCAUCUUUGUGAAAAUUCGAACAACAUUUUAAUUAACAGUUGGAAAGUAAUUAGAUAUUAUGUAGUCAAUUUUCCUAAUGUUGUCCAAGAUUAUGUUGGUCUUUUUCUGGGCACCAUUUACUCUGUUCCACCAUAUUGAAUGAAAAGAUUUCCUGUUGCAGCAUUUCUCAUCAUUGUUACAGUAUUUGACAUUGAUUGCGUUACUAAUUACCAUUACUAAACAUCUACCUGAUGUAGAGGAUCACCAAAAGUAAGUUUUUAAAAUAUGGAAUUUUAAUAUUUUUCCAUUUUUUUUUUAAAUUGAUUAUGAUACCGUUCUCCAGGUUUCAAAUUUCUACUUUUGCAACAUAACUUAGAGUAAGAAACACUGGUUUAUUAGAAUCCGAGCUUAUUAUGGUGAAUUACAUUGGUUCAAUAGUUGCAGCAUUCUAUUUGACUCAGGUGAACUUUUUAUAUAAAAGGAUCUAAAAUAACUUAAAAGGGCAAAAGUUUUUUUUACAUGGUCUAAGGACCAACAAAGCCAGAUAAAUUUGGUAAACAACAGGAAGUUAAACAAAGUAACAGGGAUUUCAUAUUUAUUUUUCCUAUAGUAGAAUUUAAAAUUUUGUUUUACCAUUUUAUGUUAUAAGUACGCUGCUUUUAUUAAUUUUAAUUUUAACAUGUUGAAUUUGAUUUUUUUUGCAGGCUUUGUAAAAACAAGGGUAGACAAAGAAAGCAGAUCAAAAAGGGAAUCUCAUUCCUUGAGAUUGAAAUGAAAAUUUUGCAAGAUGUUUCAGAUCUUAGCAAUUGGGAAUUUUGGAGGUAGGAUAUUGUUGGAGGAGGUAAAUAAGAGUUACGGACAAAAUUUCGAGACUUGCGGAGCACCGAGGAGCAAAGACAUCAAAGAAAUGAAGAUUUUGCCUUUACAGAGAUUUACACGGCCGUGUAAAUGGAAGCCUUGCGUUUACACGCCCGUGUAAACGUAGAUUUAUGCGCAGUGUAUUUUUGCGUUUACGCGGGCACGUAAAUGACAGUGUUAAUUUACGCGGGCCGUGUAAACGUAAAUGCGGGUUUUAAAGCAAUUUUUCACCAUUCUUAAAGGGGGGAAUCGGUUUUUUUAAGGGGGAUUCGAUUUUGGGAGCAGAGAAGGCGAUUUUCUAGAGGAUAACACUUUGGAACAUUUGAUUUCAUUUUGUAAGAACUUUAAUUUCAUUUCUAGAUUUAUGAUUUUGUUCUAGUCAUGAGUGGCUAGAACCCUGAUUCUCCAACUUUAUGUCUUGACUUAUAGUUGUGAUUUCAAUCAUAUGACUUGAUGUUUGCUUUCAAUUUUCUAAAUUUUCUAUCUAGUG